GGUCUCGUAGCUCAGCUGGUGGAGCGUGCGCUGUACAAAAGCGUAGGCGGCGUCCUUGCGUGGGUUCCAAUCCCACCAGGGCUA
rnacentral:tRNA from 1 species